rnacentral:tRNA from 1 species
GCCGACGUAGCUCAGCCGGCAGAGCAAUCGCCUUGUAAGCGAUAGGUCAUGGGUUCGAAUCCCAUCGUCGGCU